ensembl:miRNA microRNA 124-3
UGAGGGCCCCUCUGCGUGUUCACAGCGGACCUUGAUUUAAUGUCUAUACAAUUAAGGCACGCGGUGAAUGCCAAGAGAGGCGCCUCC